AAACCAUGGUUUGGGCUCUUCUACAGAUAUUCUUUGAACCUCUCCCAGGCUUCAUAUAGUUGUUCCCCCGGUCGCUGCUUGAAUUCAUAUAUCUUGUCUUGAAUCU